rnacentral:ncRNA from 1 species
GAGGUCGUCCAAGUUGCUUGGAACAGCACGUCGUAGAGGGUGAAAACCCCGUCUGCGGCGACCUCGGCCGUUCACGAUGUGCUUUCGACGAGUCGGGUUGUUUGGGAAUGCAGCCCAAAAUGGGUGGUAAACUCCAUCUAAAGCUAAAUAUUGGCACGAGACCGAUAGCGAACAAGUACCGUGAGGGAAAGAUGAAAAGCACUUUGAAAAGAGAGUUAAAAAGUACGUGAAACCGUUAAAAGGGAAACGAAUGGGGUUAGCAAUGCGUCGUGCGAGAUUCAGCCGGUGGGUGGGCCAGGCGGGCGGUUGGCGGAUCUGAAUGGACCGCUGCCGUUCGGGUUGGUUUCCCGACCGUCGCACUUCUCGCAGGCGCGCGCCAACGUCGGUUAGGGCUGGGUCUCAAAGGCGGUGGAAAGGUAGGUUUGGACUCUCGGGCCCGAACUGUUACAGUCCUCCGUUUGUCAUGGCCCGGACCUGACCGAGGAGCUUGCGGUGCAUGCCGUUCGGCUAGGGUCCCGUCUUCCCGGUCGGUCGUCGAAUGCGGUGGACUGCGUGCAGUGCGCCGCGACUGCUGCCGGUCGCGAGGGCGGUGAUUUCGUACUAUGCACCCACGACGUUGGUGGUCAUAUGGCCUCAUCCGACCCGUCUUGAAACACGGACCAAGGAGUCUAACAUGUGUGCGAGUCUUUGAGUGAUCGAAACUCCGAGGCGAAAUGAAAGUGAAGGCGACUUCGGUCGCUGAGGUGAGAGCCUUUUUCCACAAAAAAAGGCGCAUCAUUGACCGACCUGAUUCUACUCUUAGAAAGGUUUGAGUAAGAGCGCAUCUGUUGGGACCCGAAAGAUGGUGAACUAUGCCUGAAUAGGGUGAAGCCAGAGGAAACUCUGGUGGAGGCUCGUAGCGAUUCUGACGUGCAAAUCGAUCGUCAAAUUGG